rnacentral:rRNA from 1 species
UGGGGAAUUUUGGACAAUGGGCGAAAGCCUGAUCCAGCAAUGCCGCGUGUGUGAAGAAGGCCUUCGGGUUGUAAAGCACUUUUGUCCGGAAAGAAAUCCUUGGCUCUAAUACAGUCGGGGGAUGACGGUACCGGAAGAAUAAGCACCGGCUAACUACGUGCCAGCAGCCGCGGUAAUACGUAGGGUGCAAGCGUUAAUCGGAAUUACUGGGCGUAAAGUGUGCGCAGGCGGUUUGCUAAGACCGAUGUGAAAUCCCCGGGCUCAACCUGGGAACUGCAUUGGUGACUGGCAGGCUAGAGUAUGGCAGAGGGGGGUAGAAUUCCACGUGUAGCAGUGAAAUGCGUAGAGAUGUGGAGGAAUACCGAUGGCGAAGGCAGCCCCCUGGGCCAAUACUGACGCUCAUGCACGAAAGCGUGGGGAGCAAACAGGAUUAGAUACCCUGGUAGUCCACGCCCUAAACGAUGUCAACUAGUUGUUGGGGAUUCAUUUCCUUAGUAACGUAGCUAACGCGUGAAGUUGACCGCCUGGGGAGUACGGUCGCAA